rnacentral:misc_RNA from 1 species
AAUAAUAGAAACCCUAGGUCCUAUAUAUAAUAUUUGUGAAAUUUUACUCUUUCUUGAGUGUGGAUGAGUAUCGGCUUGGUAAUUGUCUUGAGUUUGGGGUUAUCUCUGCCAAAAUAGUUUAAGUCAAUUUAGUUUGACUCAAGUUUAUAGGUCCAAUUGUCACUUGACUGUAGUGACCGAUCUAGAGUUUGGCCCUCUUCUUUGUGGCUUGGCAAUACAGGUCUAGUUCUUUUGCUAAAACAUGGAUUCACUUGGGUUUGGCUCAUUGCCCAUCAUGCUUUUUUCAGGUCCCAGAUUGUGAUAUGCUCUGAUGUCAUGUGAAAUUUUACUGACCCAGAAGUGUGGAUGACUAUCGAUAUCAAUUCUUAAGUUUGGAGUUGUCUCCACCAAAAUGGCUUAAACUAAUUUGGCAUGGCUGCCUCUUGCUUUAUAUUCUCUUUGUUUUACUGUUUUUGAUGUGGGACACCAAUUGUAAUAGUAACUUUAGGAUUGAACCUAAUUAGGAACAUACAAAUACAUAUCCUAACUAGGAAACCCAAAUCCACAAAAUUCCUAAAUAAUUAAAUACUUUCCUAAAUAAUAAUAAUAAUAAUAAU